GUAGGAGCUGAGCUUGCUCGCGAUGGCGGUGUGUCAUCCGGCGAAUGUGUUGAUUGAUCCGGCGCCUUCGCGAGCAAGCUCAGCUCCUAC
rnacentral:misc_RNA from 1 species